rnacentral:tRNA from 1 species
GAUUAGCUCAGUUGGUAGAGCACCUGACUCUUAAUCAGGGUGUCCAGGGUUCGAACCCCU